CAUGGAGUAUUCUCUAAUACAGUUUUGUAUUUGAACUCAAAUGGCCGUGGCUUUAGGGAUAAUCUGUGCUGCAUCACUGCAGUUGCUACACAGAGAGAGAGAGAGAUAGCAGAUACUGUCACGUUAACUCGCUGUAGACCAGCAGGCAUGCAAGAUAAAUAAUCCAAGAGAGAUAUUGCAACACACAUCACUCAACUGCUGCCUCACUUGCAUCCAGUCUGUGGAUUAACCCGUCCAGCAACUGAGCAGUUGAAUAUGAAGGUCAUCUACAGAACCGAAAACAUAAAAGAAGGACAUUUUGUGCUCAUCUCUUCCAUCGAACACUCCCUAAAUGUUAAAUGGUUAACAUGGUACAACAACGAUCUUGGAAAAGGAGCAAUUUUGAAAUACUUCGGAGGUCCAGUUCAAGGAGAGCCAGGGGGACCUUCAUCAGCUUCUGACCAGCAAGCAGCAGGACCAUCAGCAACUGCUCCUGACGAGCAAGCAGCAGGACCAUCAGCAUGGAUGCUGGUCCAGUAUAUACGUAUUUAAGUUACCACAGCGAGCAGGAUGCAGUUCAUGGCCUGACCUGAUGGUAGAGCGGAGAAUGGGAAGCGGCGACCUGACAAGAGCUGAGAUGAUAGAGCUGGAUAAAGAAGGACGCGGUCACCUGACACGUCUUCAUGGCCUGACCUGAUGGUAGAGCGGAGAAUGGGAAGCGGCGACCUGACAAGAGCUGAGAUGAUAGAGCUGGAUAAAGAAGGACGCGGUCAACUGACACGUCUUCAUGGCCUGACCUGAUGGUAGAGCGGAGAAUGGGAAGUGGCGACCUGACAAGAGCUGAGAUGAUAGAGCUGGAUAAAGAAGGAUGUGGUCACCUGGCACGUCUUCACCACAAAAUUUCAAAUGCUAUUAGAUUAUUAAUGAUAAUCUUAAACUAUAAUUUACCUUAUUAGUAAGUUUAUUUAUUUUAUUUAGCCUUGUUGUGCAAGCUCUCUGGAGCUUGUGCAGAGGCAGCAGCUUUUGCAAGAGGGGAACUGGAAUCCCCUGGUUGGGCCUGGGUUCUCCUGAGGUUUUUUUUCUCGAUUAGAGUUUUGGGUUCCUCGCCACCGUUUGCAUACUGUUUUUUGCACUAUUUGCCUGGCCGGGGGGGGGCUGCUUUAGAAUUUUAAAGUUUUACUUAAUAUUGCAUAUAGGAAUUUAUAGUCUGUUAUAUUUGACCUGUGCUUCUCUCUCCUUUAUCUUAAAUGUGUGCUCUCACUGAGCGUG